UACAGAGGUCUCAAGCGUUGUUCGGAUUCAUUGGGCGUAAAGGGUGCGUAGGUGGCGCCAUAAGUCAGGUGUGAAAUCUCGGGGCUCAACCCCGAAACUGCAUUUGAUACUGUGGUGCUCGAGUACUGGAGAGGAGAUUGGAAUUUACGGUGUAGCAGUGAAAUGCGUAGAUAUCGUAAGGAAGACCAGUGGCGAAGGCGAAUCUCUGGACAGUUACUGACACUGAGGCACGAAGGCCAGGGGGAGCAAACGGG
rnacentral:rRNA from 1 species